GACGAACCACACGAACGUUAUUCGGAAUUACUGGGCUUAAAGGGUGCGUAGGCUGUGCGGAAAGUUGGGUGUGAAAUCCCCUGGCUCAACCAGGGAAUUGCGCUCAAAACUACCGUGCUUGAGGAAGACAGAGGUGAGCGGAACUUCGGGUGGAGCGGUGAAAUGCGUUGAUAUCCGAAGGAACACCGGUGGCGAAAGCGGCUCACUGGGUCUUUUCUGACGCUGAUGCACGAAAGCUAGGGGAGCAAACGGG
rnacentral:rRNA from 1 species